rnacentral:miRNA from 11 species
CGUACCACAAGUGCGUUUGCC